rnacentral:rRNA from 1 species
AUGGAAGAAGUACAAAGAGUUCGUGCUGAAAGAAUCAACCAUCAAGAUCAAAUCAAAAGUUCUGCCGAGAAGGAGCCAACCAUCAAGCCUACGCUGUCCCGCUGUGCUACUGCAUUUCUUGCACCCGACUGUGUGAAAAGAAGUGGAGAUGGUGUGUCAACCCCUGUUAGCACCAGGCAUGCAGCUGGAAUCCUGAAGACGCCCAUAAACGUUGAAAUAGUUUAUCCACACAUGACCGCUAAUAGAGUUAUCAAUAUAUCAGAAACCAUAGAAUCCGCUGUUACUGGUGCGUCAAGAAGAAGAAAAUCAAUCAUCAAAGGCUGCUCUUACGAGUGUAAUGGUCGGAUUUGGCAAGGCAACGAACUUGUUAUUCUGCCCAACAUCCGUGAAGGUAGCAGAAUAUCAGUUUGUCCAAGGCUAAGAGGAGUACGAGAGGCAGGUGAUACUGGAUCAGGUGCUAGUAGGACAGACUCAAGUAAACUGGGCAAAAUAAGCUUGAGCGAUAAGAUUCAAGCUACAGAAGAGUGGCUUGAGGCAGUUGACGUACCAGCGUCACUACGCUGGCCAGGCGCCCCUGAGAGCGUACUAAUGCUAGGUGAGGGCGGCAGAAUGAUCCUGACACAGUUAUUGCAGUGCGUUGAAAGACUCCAUUCCUCCGGAAAAUCUCUCCAGGGAAAAUUCGAAGAGAAGGAUAUCUUCUUCCUACCUUUAUACGAUGUGUUGGAAAUAGACUCCGUCUGGCAUGAACUUGACGCCGAGGGCUACCGGAGUGACCUUGAAGCUAUAAUUUCUAUACUGAAGAAGCACUUCGUGGAAGACAAUGUGGCCCGCGUGACCCGCUUUCCGAUGCUCGUGGAGAACCUAAUAGCAGAAAUUAGAAUGCUUAAAUCGGAGGAAACCCUUGACUACAAGGAUCUUGACAGGAGGUCUAUCAUUUUCAGUCAUCCUGUCACGCUGUGCUCGUCCGCGCGGAUCAGUAUCUAUACUAAUAUUAUCCUCCAUUCGAGCUCGUCGUACGGGACAUACGGACAAAAUUUUAGGGAUGCAUUGGACCCGCCAGGGUCGAAGAAGUUUCCUGCACCAAGCUGGGUGCUAAGAGCAUACGAUCGAAAUGAUCAAUCAUCGCCGGAAGGACUGAGAGACGUGUUUGUACAUCCUGAGAAAGCAUAUCGCGAUACAUUUCUCUCCAGACUGCGUUUCUCCAGGUGCCUGGUGACGCACGCCCUAAAGAACGAGAUAACAGAGAAACAGGUUGAAGCCGCACUCUACUUGUUAUGGCCAACUCAGUUGCCAGAACUACAACGGAGAGUGAUGCUCCUUUUCAAGCCAACAGCUCGGUCCAAAUCGGCAAAUAAAAAUUCUACAUCACUAAAGACAGUGAACCUAAUUGACCUACGAGAGGCUUUUGGCUCCAAGAAAUGA